UCCAACUCGGUGAUCAGGACUGAACACAGACGAGUCACCAUGGAGUUUGGACUGAGCUGCGUUUUCCUUCUUGCUGUAUUAAAAGGUGUCCAGUGUGAGGUGCAGCUGGUGGAGUCCGGGGGAGGCUUGGUGACGCCUGGAGGGUCUCUGAGACUCACCUUUGUCGCCUCUGGAUUCACCUUUGAUGACUAUGCCAUGAGCUGGGUCCGCCAGGCUCCAGGGAAGGGGCUGGAGUGGGUCUCAGCCAUUAGCUGGAACGGUGGUAGCACAUACUACGCAGACUCCGUGAAGGGCCGAUUCACCAUCUCCAGGGAAAACGCCAAGAACACACUGUAUCUGCAAACUGAAAAUGCGAGAGCUGAGGACACGGCCACGUAUUACUGUGCGAGAGACACAGUGAGGGGACGUCAGUGGGAGCCCAGACAAGAACCUACUGCAGGGACACACGGGACCACCAGGGGGCGCUGA